ACACGACUACAUUAGAUACCCGUGUAGUCCAGGGUGUAAACGCUGCGGGCUUGGUGUUGGGGGUCCUUUGAGGGCGCCCAGUGCCGGAGAGAAGUUGUUAAGCCUGCUGCUUGGGAGUACGUCCGCAAGGAUGAAACUUAAAGGAAUUGGCGGGGAGCACCGCAACGGGAGGAGCGUGCGGUUCAAUUGGAUUCAACGCCGGACAACUCACCAGGAGCGACGGUUACAUGAAGGCCAGGCUGAUGACCUUGCCUGAUUUUCCG
rnacentral:rRNA from 1 species